AAUGUCAGAAUUGUUUGCAGUGAAGGCUGGUAUUGCUGUUGUGGAAGUACAGUUUUGUGAUUUGAGCAGUUGAUUAUAUCUGCUAGUUGUGCUUAAAGAAAGUAAUAAAAAUUUAAUACACAAUUAAAAAUAGAUUAGUGUUUUGUUUAGUCCUUCAUACAAUUACAAAACAGACACUGAAAUGUGUUUAGCAAUCAAAAGUUAAUUAAACUUCUGAAAAAAGAAAACCAGAUUCAAUGUGAAAGCUGUGUCAGAUACAAUUACUGGUUUUUAUUGUGACAAGCAGAAAUUUGCAUCUAUUAGGGGAAAAACGUAGCCAGAUAAAAGACACACAAUCUGCUUGCUUACUGUGAUUGCCUAAAGGAAGUAAGAACAGUGUUAAUCAGUUUCUUUCUCACUGGGCCUGUGACAUUUAGCUGCUCUAUUUUUACCUGCUUGGGUGUCUCCUGAACCAAAUCUUUGUCUGUAUGAUUGACAGGCAUUGAUGUUAAAAGGACUUCUGUAUGGUGCUCCAGUGGAAUCAACAGAGCAGGGGGGCUGGCCUACCUGCAGUUCGUGCCAUGGGGUCUCACUGUAACAGGGUGGACUGCUUAGAAGCAAUAUGUUUAUUCUUUAUUUUCAUGGAAUUUAGCUGAUCCCAUAUGCCCAUUAUGCUCUUUCUUGUGCAGAGCCACUCUUGAGUUUCAACACCUGACUCUUAAGUCUGGAAUUCAGAGGGAGGCUAAACAAAGUCAUGAAGCCGACUCCAUGAGGAAUCCAUCAAAGGAAUCUAGGUUCUACACAGCAGGAGCACAUGAAAACAACUUGGGUGUAGGACAGUACUGACUCAAUGGCAAGCUUCAGUGAGAAAUUUUGAUGCUAACAUGAGGAUGUUGCUAUAGACAAAGAUGCGUCAAUAUCUUCUAGGAUCUGAAACUUGAGCUUCCAUGUUUUCAGUAGAUGCCACAUGUAACAUCAGAGUAUUGACAUAAAGCCUCACAUUAUUAAAAAUGGACAUGAAAUGAGAUGUGGCUUUUUCUGUUCCUUUCACAAACACUAUGAGAGUCGUUUAUUAUUCUCUCUGUACCUGGAGGACUCCUUGCCUCCAGUUACUGUUGAGUAUGCAGGCAUAAUAAGGCUGCAUGUCAAUUUUUUUUCAUUUAUAUGGAUGACUUUCAAAGUAAAACUCACCACAGCUUCAGGCCAAAAGCUUUCUCCUUGAGUCACAGCUCCCAUCAUUUUUUCCCCUCAGGCAUACUGAUCCAUAGCUAGUCAGGGAAGCAUGCACACAAAUGAUAGGUCAUUAGGAAAUUCUCAGAAUGGCAAACCUCUGAAGUCAGCCCAAGUGCUAUUUGCCAUACAUCAUGAUAAAAUUUGUGAGUUUGAGGAGGCACUAAUUAUAUGCUUGGUCUGCCAUUUAUGAGUUGUUGGAGCUGUUGUUUUCAGAACACAGCAACCUCUUUCACAGCAUAUUUCAGCAGGAUUGCCAGAGCAUGGCGAGCCAAGCAGGGAUUGACAGAUUUUGGCAUUUUAUUCCCUUC